rnacentral:rRNA from 1 species
UACGUAGGUCCCGAGCGUUGUCCGGAUUUAUUGGGCGUAAAGCGAGCGCAGGUGGUUUAUUAAGUCUGGUGUAAAAGGCAGUGGCUCAACCAUUGUAAGCAUUGGAAACUGGUAGACUUGAGUGCAGGAGAGGAGAGUGGAAUACCAUGUGUAGCGGUGAAAUGCGUAGAUAUAUGGAGGAACACCGGUGGCGAAAGCGGCUCUCUGGCCUGUAACUGUCACUGAGGCUCGAAAGCGUGGGGAGCAAACAGG